rnacentral:lncRNA from 1 species
GUUUUGGGAUGAAAUCCUGUAAAUCCCACAGGGAAUGCUGUGUGAUCCCACCUGGAAAUGAGAGGGAUCCUGGCUCUGUAAAGUACAAGGUUUUGGGAUAAAAUCCCUGUAAAUCCCACAGGGAAUCCUGUGAGAUCCCACCUGGAAAUGAGAGGGAUCCUUUAUAAAGUACAAGGUUUUGGGAUGAAAUCCUGUGGAUCCCACAGGGAAUCCUGUGUUACCCCACCUGGAAAUGAGAGGGAUCCUUUAUAAAGUACAAGGUUUUGGGAUUAAAUCCUGUGGAUCCCACAGGGAAUCCUGUGUUACCCCACCUGGAAAUGGGAGGGAGGUGCUGGUGGGGUGGGACAGGAUGGACAUGGCCCAGCAGGAAUUUCAGGAUUGUUUGGGAUGGCAGUGCCAGGAGUCAGUGGAUUUGGUCUGGAUUUUGGGAUGAGAGAGCUCAGGUCAGCCCGGGAGGGAGGAGGCUCAGGGGAUAAAGGAUGGGAUUCCUUCCCCUUCCCUGCAGCUGGGAUCACUGGGAAUGUGGGAAUGGGAUCACUGGGAAUGUGGGAAUGGGAUCACUGGGAAUGGGAUCACUGGGAAUGUGGGGCUGGGAUCACUGGGAAUGGGAUCACUGGGGAUGUGGGGAUGGGAUCACUGGGGAUGUGGGGCUGGGAUCACUGGGGAUGUGGGGCUGGGAUCACUGGGAAUGUGGGGCUGGGAUCACUGGGAAUGCAGGGCUGGAAUCUUUGGGAAUGCAGGGCUGGGAUCUCUGGGAAUGGAAUCUUUGGGAAUGCAGGGCUGGGAUCACUGGGAAUGCAGGGCUGGGAUCUCUGGAAAUGCAGGGCCGGGAUCACUGGGAAUGCAGGGCUGGGAUCUCUGGGAAUGGCAUCUCUGGGAAUGGGAUCUUUGGGAAUGGGAUCAUUGGGAAUGCAGGGCUGGGAUCUCUGGGAAUGGGAUCUCUGGGAAUGGCAUCUCUGGGAAUGCAGGGCUGGAAUCUUUGGGAAUUCAGGGCUGGGAUCUCUGGGAAUGGGAUCUCUGGGAAUGGGAUCUUUGGGAAUGGGAUCUUUGGGAAUGCAGGGCUGGGAUCAUUGGGAAUGUAAUCUUUGGGAAUUCAGGGCUGGGAUCUCUGGGAAUGCAGGGCUGGGAUCUCUGGGAAUGGCAUCUCUGGGAAUGCAG